AUCUGUGGCCAUACCACCUUGAACACACCCAGUCUUAUCUCUGAAGUUAAGCAGGAAUGGGCUUGGUUAGUACUUGGAUGAGAGACUUAUUCCUUCACUUCAGGAAUAUUAGAUGCCCGGUUU
ensembl:rRNA 5S_rRNA 5S ribosomal RNA